rnacentral:rRNA from 1 species
GAUGAACGCUGGCGGCGUGCCUAAUACAUGCAAGUCGAGCGAACGGACGAGAAGCUUGCUUUUCUGACGUUAGCGGCGGACGGGUGAGUAACACGUGGAUAACCUACCUAUAAGACUGGGAUAACUUCGGGAAACCGGAGCUAAUACCGGAUAAUAUUUUGAACCGCAUGGUUCAAAAGUGAAAGACGGUCUUGCUGUCACUUAUAGAUGGAUCCGCGCUGCAUUAGCUAGUUGGUAAGGUAACGGCUUACCAAGGCAACGAUGCAUAGCCGACCUGAGAGGGUGAUCGGCCACACUGGAACUGAGACACGGUCCAGACUCCUACGGGAGGCAGCAGUAGGGAAUCUUCCGCAAUGGGCGAAAGCCUGACGGAGCAACGCCGCGUGAGUGAUGAAGGUCUUCGGAUCAUAAAACUCUGUUAUUAGGGAAGAACAUAUGUGUAAGUAACUGUGCACGUCUUGACGGUACCUAAUCAGAAAGCCACGGCUAACUACGUG